UGCGUAGGUGGCCUGACAAGUCAGGGGUCAAAGGCAACGGCUCAACCGUUGUGAGCCCUUGAAACUGUCGGGCUUGAGUUCAGGAGAGGAAAGCGGAAUUCCUAGUGUAGCGGUGAAAUGCGUAGAUAUUAGGAGGAACACCAGUGGCGAAGGCGGCUUUCUGGACUGAUACUGACACUGAGGCACGAAAGCGUGGGGAGCAAACA
rnacentral:rRNA from 1 species